UACGGAGGGGGCUAGCGUUGUUCGGAAUUACUGGGCGUAAAGCGCACGUAGGCGGCUUUGUAAGUUAGAGGUGAAAGCCCGGGGCUCAACCCCGGAAUUGCCUUUAAGACUGCAUCGCUAGAAUUGUGGAGAGGUAAGUGGAAUCCGAGUGUAGAGGUGAAAUUCGUAGAUAUUCGGAAGAACACCAGUGGCGAAGGCGACUUACUGGACACAUAUUGACGCUGAGGUGCGAAAGCGUGGGGAGCAAACAGGG
rnacentral:rRNA from 1 species